GCCGGGGUGGCAGAGCGGAAAUGCGCCGGCCUCGAGAGCCGGUGGCUCUUUGAGCCUCAUGGGUUCAAAUCCCAUCCCCGGCGCCA
rnacentral:tRNA from 1 species